rnacentral:misc_RNA from 1 species
CUUUCAUUCUGUUAACCGGACUUCUGCACGGGCUACUGCCAAACGAAAUUCCUGGCAACAUGAGGGAAAGCAAACGGCGAGCUAAUCCGGCGAAACAAUCAGAUACCAAUGCUCGAAACAAGCGCAAGUAUUUCGAUGGCAUGGAGCGACAUGAUCACGAAACUGAUGGAAAGAGGAAAAGAUUAGUGUUGAGGACCGAAACCCUUACUGUUAAGCCCCAUUGCUGGUAUCCGAAUUUUCCAACAUCGAAUAGGUUUAGACCAAUUCACGCUUCAUCCUCACGAAGGCGUAAUAAUAAGCGUUACCGGAGCAGAAGUUCGAGUAUUGGCGAGUGUCAUCGUAGAUGGGUCUUCUCUGGCGGCGAUUUCUCUGCCUAUAGAGAUAGGGUCGUUGUUGUCUCAUACAAUAUACUAGGUGUUGAAAAUGCAUCAAACCACCCAGAUUUGUAUUCCAAAAUCCCACCUGAGUUCUUGGAGUGGGAUCGGCGGAAGGAGCUCAUAUGUAAGGAGAUUAAUCAUUAUAAUGCAGGCAUCCUAUGUUUCCAGGUAGUUUGAAUUGGGUUUAAUUUGCAUUACAGAUUAUCUCCCUAUAUAUAUGCAUUUACAGAAUGGACAUGCUAUCUGUCCAUAUGUGAAGUUGAAGAUGUCUUAGUGUUUGUGGGAAUUAUCAGUUGCUUUUAUUUUUAGCUUUUCUGUAACUUUUCAUUGAGAAAGCCAGAAAGGCAUGCAUGGCCUCUAAUUUUUGGUGCUUUAGGGAGCAUUGGGUAUAUGCAAAUAAUCCAUUUUAAUAAACCAUUGUGUACAACAUCCAUAUAUACUCUUUUGCACCUGUUUAUAUUAUUGUAUAUUUUGUUAGUGCAUAUAACUUUGAAUCUGAAUGUCAUAUGACUUCGAAUCUCAAUAGUUCAUACUUUGAAGCAUAGGUGGAAAUUUCUGCACAGAAUAAACAUGCCACACUCAUAAACUGAGAAUGAUGCUUAAGAAAAUGAAAACAAUAAAGGAAAAAAGAGAUUUCUAGAUGUUUUGAAGUUAUCUAAUAAAUUCCAUUUCUUUUAGAGUUUGGAGUACAGACUUGCUUUUGUUGACUUUUUCCUCCCCAUUCUUUUGAAAAUUGAAAUGUUGUUUAAUCAUCUUGCUUCCCUAAGUGCUUUUUCUCAUCUUAAUGAGGUGAAUGGUUGCUUAAAAUCCUAGUCCUUUCUGUGGAAGCCAAAAGUUCAUAUUGUAAGGUGUACCUGGUAUUUCUCCAUGUUGUUCAUAGUUUUGAAUUUAUUAUCAUAACUGGACUUUGUGUACUAUAAAGUUUGCUUUAUGAUCAUGGAUCUUUUAUAUUGAAGGAGACAUAUUAAAUUCUUAUAAAUGGAGUUGUAUUAUCAUAAUUCACUUUUCUGGCUUUAGGAGGUUGAUCAUUUCAAUGAUUUAGAUUAUCUUCUUCAAAAGGAUGGCUUUAGAGGAGUUUACAAGGCCCGCACAGGUGAAGCAUGUGAUGGCUGCGCUAUAUUUUGGAAAGACAAACUAUUUACCCUUUUGCAUGAAGAAAAUAUAGAGUUCCAGAGUUUUGGCCUCCGUAACAAUGUUGCUCAACUUUGUGUUUUAAAGAUGAAUGAAAAUCAACUGAUGUCUGACCUGUGUAAGCAAACAUCAAAGGCAACAGCUACCCAAAGUCGAAGAUUAGUGGUUGGCAAUGUGCAUGUUCUCUUUAACCCGAACCGUGGAGACAUCAAGCUUGGCCAGGUAUUCACUCCUCUACUGCCCCAUUUUUUCUAAAGCAGGCCAAGUUAUCUUUUGAAUCACUAGAAUCUGAAGCAAGCAUUCCUCUUUCUGUAUUUGCUAUAUGCAUGUAGAAUCCGAAGCAAGCAUUCCUCUUUGUGUAUUUGCUAUAUGCAUGCGGGUCUGUACCUUUUUUUCAUCAUUUCAUGUUUUUGUUGGGUUACUUGGGGACAAUGGUCUGUCAAAAUUAAUGUUUUUAAUAUCACCAAUGCCAUAAAUGAUUAAUGUCCUAAUGUAGGUUCGGCUAUUUCUUGAGAGAGCUUACAAGUUAUCACAGGAAUGGGGUAGCGUCCCUGUUGUAAUUGGUGGAGAUCUAAAUAGCCUUCCUGAGGUCAAGUCUUAUAAUGCUAUUAUUAAGUGGACAGUUGUAGAUUAGAUGAAUUCAGUGCUAUUAAUCUUAAGCAAUCUUGUAACUUAAGUUUUUUUUCUCCCUCUUCUCAUGGUUAGAGUGCCAUAUACCAGUUUUUGGCUUCAUCUGAGGUGAGUUUUGGUUAUUGUUUAACAUCAAGAUUAUUAAAAUCCUUCAGCAUUUACUUUGAUUUGCACUAACCUAAGACAAUUCAUUUUUUCCCCUUUGUGUGGGUUGAACUUUUGGUAGCUGGAUGUCCUAGUUCAUGACCGCAGAAACAUUUCUGGACAGCUUGAAUAUCCACCGCAGCACAAAUACUUCAGAUCCCAGGAUGAGAUUGCCAAGAGGCUAGUGAUAAAGGUGAACCUGUUUAUGGGUAAGCAUCAGGGUUCAAUCUCAACAGUAUCCUCUGGCCUAUUAUCUAUCAUGAAGACUGGCAUGCUUUUAACUCAAGGGAGGGAGGGUGUGAGAGAGAGAGGGAAUAAUCCUUUGUUGAAAGCUUUAAAAUGAGGUUAUCCUUAAGGCCUAAAUUACCAUCUACAGUGUCAAAUUGGGGAAGGUUGUGUGGAUCAAUUUAACCAUGGCUGUAUAUGGAUGCAGAAAUAGCUUGUCCAACUCGAGGCCAUUAAUGCAUAUAUGGAGUGAUGAAGAAUUAAUUCUUGCUACAGGUAGCAAAGAAGUCACUCGACUUUGUCAUCAAUUAAAGCUCUGUAGUGCAUAUCUCGGGGUUCCAGUAAGUUUAUUAUAUAUUUUUGUACUUUUGUUUUUGAGGAUGUAAUAUUUUUGGUAUGCUUAGAUUUGCAACUUCUUUAGGGAUAUGUACUUUAAACUUAUUAUUAUUAACUAGAUUUGAUAGGGAUACUGAUGUCUAACAAGAGUUGUCAAAUAUAUGUCUAUAUCUUGUAGUCAUCUUUUUGAUACUGAAAAAUAGGCUACUGUUGAGGCAUGACCUGCUAUCAUAUUUGUUUGGAUCAAUUUAAGAUUUUUUUUUUUGGUUAAAAAUUAUUGAUGUGAUUUUGUCACUGUAGUUUAAUUUAACACUGUCAACUUCUUCAGGGGAGCCAUAGAUCAAGAGACAAUUGUGGAGAACCAUUAGCAACAUCAUACCACUCCAAGUUUAUGGGAACUGUUGAUUAUAUUUGGCACACUAAGGAACUCAUUCCUGUCAGAGUUCUUGAAACCGUACCCAUUGACAUUUUGAGAAGAUGUGCAGGGCUUCCUAAUG